UUAUUCUCAAACUUCAGAGUUUGAAGUUUGGAUAUGGAGGACUAUUGCUGGUGAACUCAUGUUUGCUGGCUCCUCUCAAAUGCAUUAGCGGAACUGUCAGUGUCUUGGGCUCUGGUUUGAUACAUAUCUAUGCCAUUGCUGAGGAGCUUUCAUGGUUCAGCUUCUAAAACUGUUUCUGAAA
rnacentral:misc_RNA from 1 species